rnacentral:rRNA from 1 species
GACGAACGCUGGCGGCGUGCCUAAUACAUGCAAGUUGAGCGAUGAAGAUUGGUGCUUGCACCAAUUUGAAGAGCAGCGAACGGGUGAGUAACGCAUGGGGAAUCUGCCUUUGAGCGGGGGACAACAUUUGGAAACGAAUGCUAAUACCGCAUAACAACUUUAAACAUAAGUUUUAAGUUUGAAAGAUGCAAUUGCAUCACUCAAAGAUGAUCCCGCGUUGUAUUAGCUAGUUGGUGAGGUAAAGGCUCACCAAGGCGAUGAUACAUAGCCGACCUGAGAGGGUGAUCGGCCACAUUGGGACUGAGACACGGCCCAAACUCCUACGGGAGGCAGCAGUAGGGAAUCUUCGGCAAUGGACGAAAGUCUGAACGAGCAACGCCGCGUGAGUGAAGAAGGUUUUCGGAUCGUAAAACUCUGUUGGUAGAGAAGAACGUUGGUGAGAGUGGAAAGCUCAUCAAGUGACGGUAACUAACCAGAAAGGGACGGCUAACUACGUG